GAUGAAAACUUUACACCCUAGGCAACAGUGUCUGUUAGUGUUGGUGUCUGGUGGCGAGGAGACUUCGCUUGGUUGUGACAACAGGAGAAAAAGCUUACAGUCAGUUAUGCCUUGUUGGAUGUGAAAUUACGUCAAGUAACUUCGCGUGAGCUUCAGUGCGGUAUACUAGGUGGACGCUCAAGAAGAUCCAAAGCUUUCUAAUCCGACGUUGUGAACACAUCACGAGAAGAAGCUUAAAAGUUAUCAGACAGCCAACAGAGCAUAGACGAAAUGUUCCUGAGCACAGCAGACCUCCUUAUCACGGUCAUAUACAUUACCUUUGUCUGCGGCUUGACCUACUGCGCCUUCGAAUACUUCUGCAACCGGGCGUCAAGUUUUGACCCGGGUGCCCUGAUAGGAAUUGGUGUGGCUGGAUGCAUUGGCGUGAUCUGUUUUUUCUGGCUACGUUGGGAUGCGACUACUGGUAUUAUUUUGUCUUUGCUUGGAGGCUGUAUUGGCAGCGGGAUAUUCAAGAUCAACAAUAACUCCAAUAGUGGCGAUAAAAUGAAGGCAAUACAAUAACUGUACAAUCAGAAACCACAUCUGAGGCGUCUCUAGUAGCCUAUGAAUCACAUACUUUCUGACUGAUUUCUUCUUUUAUCUAGCUAGUCGCUCUACUGGAUUGCGUGGACUAUUUAAUUAAUGACUGUCACCAGAAUCAUAUCACCUAGAGGUGAUAUGCUUCUGCUGUCACACUGAAGUUUGUAUGUUACACACACUUUGGGGAAUCUUUGAAAACCAUUUUUGAUGCAUGGCCACUGUUCACCAAACUACACAUCAAAGCACUAUGUAAUGACACUCAUUUCAUUUUACAGCAUGUAAAGGUUACAUGUCAGAAAUAUGACAUAUUGUGUAUAUCUAAUCUGAUCGAUCAUGACGAUCAAAAGUAAUUUUCUUUCUCCAGGGUUUUAGAUGUGCUGGUGAGAAUGUUCUACUAGCAUAUUAAGACGGGGGUUAACAUGAAGGCCGUAUUUUGGCUGGGUAUUAUGGUUUUAGCGCAAAUAUCUCGUUCACGUUUCAAGCAGUCAAAAAUAUCUCUGCUCAUCCCGCAUAUCUACGUUUUGUAAAUUUUUUUUGGUGAUUUUGGGGUAUAUUUGGGGAUAAAUAGUUUUUCCCAAAGGAUUAGUA